rnacentral:rRNA from 1 species
CGAUAGCGUAUAUUAAAGUUGUUGCAGUUAAAAAGCUCGUAGUUGGAUUUGUGGCGUACGACGGGCUCCGGGCACUUGUUGUCUGAGUAGCUUGUCGUUGCCAUUCUUGGGUGGAACCUGUGUGGCAUUAGGUUGUCGUGCAGGGGAUGCCCAUCUUUUACUGUGAAAAAAUUAGAGUGUUCAAAGCAGGCUUAUGCCGUUGAAUAUAUUAGCAUGGAAUAAUAAGAUAGGACUUUGUCGCUAUUUUGUUGGUUUGCGCGAUAAGGUAAUGAUUAAUAGGGACAGUUGGGGGUAUUCGUAUUCCAUUGUCAGAGGUGAAAUUCUUGGAUUUUUGGAAGACGAACUACUGCGAAAGCAUUUACCAAGGAUGUUUUCAUUAA